GCUCCGGUGGCCUAGUGGGUAGAGCGUCCGCCUCAAAUGCGGGAGGUCGCGGGUUCAAUCCCCGAUCGAGUCA